rnacentral:rRNA from 1 species
AUGGGGGAGAACGGCGUGGGCAAGAACUACUACCCGCAGGGGGGCGCGGCGGCGGCGGCCAUGGAGGUGUCCUCCGUGGAGCACGGCCAGGCUGGCGGCUCCAAGUGCUACGACGACGACGGCCGCCUCAAGCGCACCGGGACGAUGUGGACGGCGAGCGCACACAUCAUCACGGCGGUGAUCGGGUCCGGGGUGCUGUCGCUGGCCUGGGCCAUCGGGCAGCUCGGCUGGGUGGCCGGCCCCGCCGUCAUGCUGCUCUUCUCCCUCGUCACCUACUACACCUCCUCGCUGCUCUCCGACUGCUACCGCUACGGCGACGAGACCACCGGCAAGCGCAACUACACCUACAUGGACGCCGUCAACGCCAACCUCAGUGGCAUCAAGGUCCAGCUCUGCGGAUUCCUGCAGUACGCCAACAUCGUCGGCGUCGCCAUCGGAUACACCAUCGCCGCCUCCAUUAGCAUGCUUGCGAUCAAGAGGGCCAACUGCUUCCACGUCAAGGGGCACGUGAACCCGUGCCACAUCUCGAGCACGCCCUACAUGGUCAUCUUCGGCGUGGCGCAGAUCUUCUUCUCGCAGAUCCCGGACUUCGACCAGAUCUCCUGGCUCUCCAUCCUGGCCGCCAUCAUGUCCUUCACCUACUCCACCAUCGGCCUCGGCCUCGGCAUCGUCCAGGUGGUCGCCAACAAGGGCGUCAAGGGCAGCCUCACCGGCAUCAGCAUCGGCGCCGUCACGCCCAUCGACAAGGUCUGGCGGAGCCUCCAGGCGUUCGGCGACAUCGCCUUCGCCUACUCCUAUUCGCUCAUCCUCAUCGAGAUCCAGGACACCAUCAGGGCGCCGCCGCCGUCCGAGGCCAAGGUCAUGCGCCGCGCCACCCUCGUCAGCGUCGCCACCACCACGCUCUUCUACAUGCUCUGCGGCUGCAUGGGCUACGCCGCCUUCGGCGACGACGCACCCGGGAACCUCCUCACCGGCUUCGGCUUCUACGAGCCCUUCUGGCUCCUCGACAUCGCCAACGCCGCCAUCGUCGUCCACCUCGUCGGCGCCUACCAGGUCUACUGCCAGCCCCUGUUCGCCUUCGUCGAGAAGUGGGCGCAGCAGAGGUGGCCCAAGUCAGGGUUCAUCACCGGAGAGAUCCAGGUCCCGCUCGUCUCCUCCGGCUUCAAGCUCAACCUCUUCCGCCUGACGUGGCGGUCGGCGUUCGUGGUGGCGACGACGGUGGUGUCGAUGCUGCUGCCCUUCUUCAACGACGUCGUCGGCUUCCUCGGCGCCAUCGGGUUCUGGCCGCUCACCGUCUACUUCCCCGUGGAGAUGUACAUCGUGCAGAAGAAGAUACCCAGGUGGAGCUCGCAGUGGGUGUGCCUACAGCUGCUCAGCCUCGCCUGCCUCAUCAUCACCAUUGCCGCCGCCGCCGGCUCCAUCGCCGGGAUAAUGUCCGAUCUAAAGGUCUACAAGCCGUUCUUCACAACUGACUGA